GACGAACGCUGGCGGCGUGCUUAACACAUGCAAGUCGAACGGUAAGGCCCUUCGGGGUACACGAGUGGCGAACGGGUGAGUAACACGUGGGUGAUCUGCCCUGCACUUCGGGAUAAGCCUGGGAAACUGGGUCUAAUACCGGAUAGUACCACUGCCUGCAUGGUGGUGGUGGAAAGCUUUUGCGGGUUGGGAUGGGCCCGCGGCCUAUCAGCUUGUUGGUGGGGUGGUGGCCUACCAAGGCGACGACGGGUAGCCGGCCUGAGAGGGUGACCGGCCACACUGGGACUGAGAUACGGCCCAGACUCCUACGGGAGGCAGCAGUGGGGAAUAUUGCACAAUGGGCGCAAGCCUGAUGCAGCGACGCCGCGUGAGGGAUGACGGCCUUCGGGUUGUAAACCUCUUUCAGCACCGACGAAGCGCAAGUGACGGUAGGUGCAGAAGAAGGACCGGCCAACUACGUGCCAGCCGCCGCGGUAA
rnacentral:rRNA from 1 species